AUUAUGAUUGCACUGCCUAUAUUACUAAAAUUGUAUCUACCGCUCUAAAAACUUCUUGCUUGGAAUAAUUACUUUUUUUAUCCCUAAGCUACGUGCUAAACACUAUUGUUGUGCUCCUUUUCUGUAAAAUGUGACUAAUGUUGUCCCAUUUCUGAAUUGAUUACAUAAAAUUUAUGCAACUUUUUAAACCUUAAAUAAACUAUCAUCUAUAGAAUUACUUUCAUGCAUAUCAUUGAAACCAUUGUCUGACUGAAGUAAAUGAGUUGAUAUGACUUUUGUUGUCAUGGUAGACUUCUUAAGUAGUCUGAAUUGUCACAUUAAUGAAUUAAUUAUUGUGGCACAUGGUAUCAGUCUAUGAAGGCACAGUGGUGGUGUUUAAAAGAAUAAGAUAAAAAUAGGAUUCCUUAAAUAUUCACAUAGGUUAUUUAUUAUUCUUAACAUUACAGGACAUUUCCAUUUGUGAGCGGAGAAAUGAGAGUCUAUGGAAUGCACUUACUCAGCUCACUCAGCCUUAGGCACCAUGUAAUCCAACUGGACCAUGAUCACGUUUGUAAUUAGAAGCCUGCAUCAUCAAUCACCAAUUAUUACAGACGAGAAGAUUGUGAACACACCAGGAACUCUGGCCCUGCCAUGGAGUUCUGUGUUCAAAAAGAAAGAGAUGACAGCUGACUCGAUUCUGACUUGAAGUGUUGGUCUUCCUGAUCUAUCACAAUCUGAAGAGCCCCUACCACAUAUACCUGCUGCCAGGAUUGACCUACCUAUUGCCUCUGCUGAGACCUAUGAUGGUUUGUAUG
rnacentral:lncRNA from 1 species